GCUUACAACAAAGCAUGACACUGAAGAUGUCAAGACGGCUGCCACAAACACCCAUGGACA
rnacentral:tRNA from 1 species